CUUCCAGCAGCAGAGUACAUAUCAAAUCUGUCUUACACAGCUAGGGAAAUAAAACAUCAUAAAGAUAUACAAUAUUAGUUGUUAGAAUAUACUCCUAGUAUAAUUAAAAGUUCCCUAACAUUAUGUGUCCAAGUAUAAUAAGGAGUUAUUGUUUCCUAAUAUUGUGUUUCUUAGUUUAAUUAGAAAUUAUUAUAAUUUAUAGGUGACAAUAUAUGUCAAAGUUGGGGUGGUUAAUAAUCAACCAUGCUAACCGAGAUCCAUUCACCAUUGCGUAAAUUAAUACAACAUACCUAGGGGAUAGGUAAAUUAUAGGGGUCUGACAAAUGACAACCCAUCAAUUUUUAAUUGACUAUUUUAUUACAUCAUAAUCAAGGGGGGAAAUAGAUGAUAAUCAGAAGAAAAAAAACACUGAAAUUAAAGGAUGAGUUAUAAGCAUAGCUCGGAGUGUAGGAAUUAUAGAUUUCUAAAAGACACCUCUCGUAACAGGUCAAUAUGUGAAUACGAGAUCAGACCUCCAAGCUUUAAAAACAGACUAAAUUGAGAAAACAAAAUCAAGAUAUCAGUUAAAGAAAAUACAGAAUAACCAAGUUACCUCAGUUGAACCCUCGAGGUGAUCCUUUAUUCGUAUUCAAUCAGUUCCCUCUCUACAAAAGGAAACAUGACUACAUCUUAGUAGCUUUCAGCAUCUCAAAACUUUGCGCAGCGGGGGUAACCCUUUACCCCAAACCCCAUAUAACAUACUCAAUUUAUAUGAAAACUGUAGGGUUAGGUCUCUGGGAUUCUAUUUUGAUCAAGGGUUGAAAAUGAUAGUUAACUCAUCCAACGGCCAGUAUGUCGACUCUAGAAGGUUCUGUUCAAUCUAAAUGUAAUGAAGGGUUGAAAAUGAUUGAUCCUGAUCUAAUGGCUCAAAAAACAGUUCAAGAAGGUUCCUUUGACGUGAAAAUGCUCACACGUGUUGUAGUCACAAUGAAAAUUUUGGAAACAACACAAAAAUAGGAAUUCUUUUUUUCAUAAUAAAAAACUUCAAAUUCCCAAAGAACAAAAACAGAAAAUAAAUGCAAGCAAAUUCCAGUAUUUAAUAUCCAUAAAUACCAAAACCAGCAUAUAAGUCAUCUACUGCUCUCUCGUACUAAAUUAGAUGAAAUAAAUAUAUUUUAUGAAUAUAUAUAUACAUAUAUAUAUAUGUAUAUAAUAGCCUCCUCAUUUACCUUGAGGCCAGCAGAAAGUAAAAAGAUUCCACCGCCUUAAACGAAGCCAGACAUGUCUUGACUGUGCCUUCUACCUGCAUCAAUUAUUUAUUUAUCAUCAGUUUUCUUGUUUGAGGUCACAAUUUGGAGAAUCAGCAGAUGGCUGCGAAGCACAUGAAAUAGUACAUAUAUUCACAAAAGUGCACCAGAAUGCAGUUAAUAACUAUAUAUCUAUUAUUGGAUAAUGCAGGUAGUAACAAAUAGUCAAUAGAUGGUUGUCAAAGAAAAAGAACAGAAGAUGUUUUCUAUUGAGAACUACAGAAGAUGUUCGUAGCUGAUAAAUCUAUCACAAGGAUAGUAGUAUGUGAAAAUGAAUUGGUAAUAGGGUUCAGUGGAGAGGUAUAAACCGUACUAUCAACCAAGAUAGUAGUUUACUCAUUUCGAUAAUUGUGGACAUUUCUCAUAAGAAUCUUUAUGUGCAUUAUAUGCAAGCCUCUCAAAGGCUAGCAUAAAUAGAUCUAUAUAUGUUACAGGCACACAAACCAUUACACUCAUAUGAAGAGGUUUCGAGUUCAAGAGUCUCUAUCUGUAUUUUGACUCCCUUUUUCUUUGUGCACAGCAUGUUUUCCACCAUGGUUUCUCUUUUCGUAGACUUAGUGCACUGCGUUCUCUUUCUAUUUGUCUCACCAUAUGCAAGCUGAGUCAUUUUCAGGCCCAAUCCAAUGUUGAGUACCUUAAUCUUAUGGAUCUACCAAUGACCUAACAAAGCCACUGAUAAAAUCAUUAAUCAAAUGAUUAAAAUCCAUCAAUUCAAUCCCAUUCUUUCUCUCUCUAUCCAAACCCUCAAAUGCAUAUAUGUUCUUCAUUUUGGAUAUUCAAUGAAUUAUUAGAUGUUUUGAAAGUGAGCCGGCUCAUAGCAGCUUGCACCAGGCACAAAAUCAUACGAAUGGAUGUUGAGCAAGCCACGCAACAACAAUUACACAUGAGCCAAAUGAUCCAGUUGUCAAUAACCAAUUUAUCUAAAUCACUAUGACUAUCUCCUUCAAAUUUCCUAUAAAUUAUAUAACUCCCUCGCACUGGCCUAGGUGAUUGAAUUUCCUAUAAGGAAGCAGUUUCAUUCGGCUAUCUUUGGCAUCUAGAAAAUAAAAUCCGAUACAAUGAGUUGCAAGAUUAAAUUUUUCCUUGCUUAGACACAUUAACUCAAGCAACUGAGUUUCUGCCCGGUACCCAUUAUAAUUUCAGCUCAAACCCUUUUACCAUGUUCUUGAUAAAAUCAUCGGGCUACGCAUAGUUUACAGUUAUCAAAAGAAGUGGAAAAAAGGCUAAUAUGUAGUACUUCAAUUGCUAGGAAAUUUAUAGGUGAAAACAUCACAAAUCUUGUACUAGAAAGUUAGAUAUUCAACAAAUGCGGCUAAAUCUCUCUCCAGCAUAUACAAUUCGUUUCCAUUUAGUGAUAUUGGCAAGCGUUCAAUCAAAGUACGAAUUAAUCACUCAGCUUGUAAUUGGAACCAUCUUGAAAUUACUGGAGCUACUUAGUAAUAUGUCAAUGAGAUGAUAUCCAUUAAUAAGCAAAGCAAUAAACGAAACAGAAACAUGAAUAUAUAUAAUUUUGGCAUCUAUAUAGAGAAAGAAACCAUACCUUUCAAUCGAGAUAUUUAACAAUUUGAAAGAUGAAGGUAUCAAAAUAAGCACUUCUGCAAUACCAAAAGUUAAAAGUAGGUCCGGCAACAUGGGCA
rnacentral:lncRNA from 1 species